rnacentral:misc_RNA from 1 species
AAGUCGUAACAAGGUUUCCGUAGGUGAACCUGCGGAAGGAUCAUUAACACGUAUCCAAACGUAAAAAACCCCCCCCCGUGAACAUUCAAUCCUGCUCUUGUAACCCGCGUAGUUCGCAAUCUCUGGUAAAUCAUAGCCCGGAAAGUAGUUUUGAUUCAGAGACCUCUGGCUACGUGAGAACAUUGGAACAAAAAAACCGAACAACUGUUAACAAUGGAUAUCUUGGUUCUC